GCCGCAGCCUCUGGAUGAUUCAGGGUGAAAACUCCCGACUUGAUAUUCACUGAAGAUUGUGCAAAGGAGCUUCACAGGUCCUGCCUACCAGUUGAGGACUGUGAUAUCUCUAGAUUCAUUUUUUUCGCCAGAUGAUCCUCUACCAGGGUAACUUUGCCUAAAGAUUAUUUUUUGGUUGAAUUCUGUAUGUUCAAGUCUUCCUCAGAAAGUUCUAUACUACUAGGCACACAUUUUGAGCAGAGUGAUCAUGAACUAGCAUCUAUCGACUAUCAUGACACCUGUCAUUGUAGAUUUGUUGUAUGCCCAUGAUGUGUCGAUAUUGGCCUCCAUCUUUCAUCUUAGCGUACAUGAACAUAAGAUGGCUCUUUCCCGUGCCCUUCACUGCUCCUCUCUCCUCGUUGCAUUGUUGCUGCUCAUUUUCCCUUCAUCUGCAGCAUUACUGUUUGCUUCACUUUGUAUCUACUAGCUCAAAUAAGUGCUUCAUCAGGUUACCAUUGCCCUCUCUAAGGCUUUAUUGUUCAAAUUCAGGGAUGAUAGUGCUGUUGCUGAUAUAAUUAUCUCCACAUCAAUUGCAGGGAAGGAGGUGCUUCAAUCAAUGCCACGGCUACUUUAGAGCACUUGCAGAUGCAAAGAAUAGUUGAUUGUACACAUCAGGUGAUAGCUAGAGGCUCAUGUACGGCAUAUGUAUGUUUCCAUAUGCUGAUUUGUAAACUAGAUGUUUGUACUGUAGAUUUUGUAAUUGUUCUUUCUCAUGACUUUUGAAAACUGUUACAUCUCAUAAAUAGUAUGUGCAUUGUUUAAUCACAUGCUGAAUGCCAAAAAGAUUGCAAUAAUUAGGUUCUUUCAUGAAUGGUUCAUUGGCA